AGAGUUUGAUCAUGGCUCAGAUUGAACGCUGGCGGAAUGCUUUACACAUGCAAGUCGAACGGCAGCACGGGGGCAACCCUGGUGGCGAGUGGCGAACGGGUGAGUAAUACAUCGGAACGUGCCCAGUCGUGGGGGAUAACGCAGCGAAAGCUGUGCUAAUACCGCAUACGAACUCUGGUUGAAAGCGGGGGACCCGUAAGGGCCUCGCGCGAUUGGAGCGGCCGAUGGCAGAUUAGGUAGUUGGUGGGGUAAAGGCCUACCAAGCCUGCGAUCUGUAGCUGGUCUGAGAGGACGACCAGUCACACUGGGACUGAGACACGGCCCAGACUCCUACGGGAGGCAGCAGUGGGGAAUUUUGGACAAUGGGCGCAAGCCUGAUCCAGCCAUUCCGCGUGCAGGAUGAAGGCCCUCGGGUUGUAAACUGCUUUUGUACGGAACGAAAAGGCUUCUUCUAAUACAGGGAGCUCAUGACGGUACCGUAAGAAUAAGCACCGGCUAACUACGUGCCAGCAGCCGCGGUAAUACGUAGGGUGCAAGCGUUAAUCGGAAUUACUGGGCGUAAAGCGUGCGCAGGCGGUGAUGUAAGACAGAUGUGAAAUCCCCGGGCUCAACCUGGGAACUGCAUUUGUGACUGCAUCGCUGGAGUGCGGCAGAGGGGGAUGGAAUUCCGCGUGUAGCAGUGAAAUGCGUAGAUAUGCGGAGGAACACCGAUGGCGAAGGCAAUCCCCUGGGCCUGCACUGACGCUCAUGCACGAAAGCGUGGGGAGCAAACAGGAUUAGAUACCCUAGUAGUCC
rnacentral:rRNA from 1 species